UGGGAAAUCCCAGAGUGGGGAUUUGGGAUCAGCUCCAGGGGCUGGGAAUUCCCAGGGAUGGGGAGGGGGAAGAUCCUGGGAUCCCCAGAAUCCGGGAAAGACCCAGCCCGAGGGGGGCUCUGCUCCUCCCAAUUCCCGGGAUUUUUAAAUUCCCUGACUGGGAUGGGGGGGAGGGGCUGAGGGACCUUGGGAUGUCCCCGAUCCCGUGGGAAUCCCAGCCCUGCCCUGGCAUCACCGGAUCCACCCCCGAUCCAGGAGGGACCCAGACCCAGAUCCCUGUCCCAGGAAUCCCAUCCCAGACCAGGAAUCCCAUCCUGGAUCCGGGAAUCCCAUCCCACAUCAGCAAUCCCAUCCCAGACCCAGGAAUCCCAUCCCAGACCCAGGAAUCCCAUCCUGGAUCCGGGAAUCCCAUCCUGGAACCAUUUCCCACAUGGGAUCCCCAGAUCCACAUUCCCAAAUCCAGGGGGCAUUCCCAGCAUCCCCAUUUUCCAAUGCCUGCCCCAAAUCCAGGGAUCAGACCCCAAACCCAUCCCCCAUUCCACAUUUCCAAAUCCCGGGAUCAGACCCCAAACCCAGCCCCCAUUCCCAUCCCAAAUCCAGGGAUCAGAUCCCAAACCCAUCCCCCAUUCCCACCCCAAAUCCCGGGAUCAGAUCCCAAACCCAUCCCCCAUUCCCACCCCAAAUCCAGGGAUCAGAUCCCAAACCCAUCCCCUAUUCCCGCCCCAAAUCCCAGCCCCGUUCCCAAUCCCAUUCCCGAUCCCGCCCAUUUCCCCUCCCUGGGGGCGGGCUCGGGCUCGGCCGCUCCUUUUCCAGCCCCGAUCCCAAAUCCCGGUUUUUGGUGGCCGCUGUCCAGCCCGGCCGGGGCGCGCUCCUCCCGCUCUUCCCGCUUUUCCCACUUUUCUCUUUUCCCUCUUUUCCCUCUUUUCUCGCUUUUCCCGUUUCUCCUGCUUUUCCCUCCGCUCCCUCCAUUCCCGCUAUUCCCGUUUUCCCCACUUUUCCCGUUCUUCCCAGCUUUCCCGUUUUUCCCGCUGUUCCCGUUUUUCCCGGUUUUCCCCCGUUUCUCCCGGCUAUUCCCGCUCCAUCCCGCCGGGAAUUCCGCGCGCUCCCCCCGGGGCGGUUUGGGGGCCUCGGGGCCGGCGCCGCUCCCGGAACUCCUCCGGGCGGGGAAUUCCGGGAAUUCGGGCGGCGAGCCCGGCCUGGGGGCGAUGCGAGAGGCCGCGGCAGCCGAGGAGGAGGAGGAGGAGGAGGAGGAGGCGCGGCCGCCCUUCGGCCCCGUGGCAGGCGGUGAGCACGGGAUCGGGAUUGGGAUUGGGAUCGGGGUUUGGGAUCGGGGAUCGGGAUCGGGGUUUGGGAUCGGGGCCGGCGGGAGCGGCCCCAUCCCAACGCUGGGAUCCCUUCCAGGCCGGGCCCGGCACCGGCCCCGGUGCCGCGGGGAUCCCGGGAUGGGCGCGGCCGUGCGGAUCCUGUUCGGGAUGGCCGGGAUGAUCCUGGCGGGCGUGGCCACGCUGGGAACGCUGGGUGAGCGGGAUCGGGAACGGGAUCGGGAUUGGGGUUGGGAUUGGGAUCCUGUUCGGGAUGGCCGGGGUGAUCCUGGCAGCUGUGGCCACACUGGGAGCGCUGGGUGAGCGGGAUCGGGAACGGGAUUGGGGUUCGGAAUGGAAUUGGGGUUGGGAUUGGGAGUGGGAUUGGGGGUCCUGUUCGGGAUGGCCGUGAUGAUCCUGGCGGGCGUGGCCAUGCUGGGAAUGCUGGGUGAGCGGGAUUGGGAAUGGAGUUGGGAUUGGGAUUGGGAUUGGGAUCGGGGUCGGGAUCCUGUUCAGGAUGGCCGGGAUGAUCCUGGCGGGCGUGGCCACGCUGGGAAUGCUGGGUGAGAGGGAUUGGGAUCGGGAAUGGGGUCAGUAUUGGGAUUGGGAUUGGGGUUGGGAUUGGGAUCCUGUUCGGGAUGGCUGGG
rnacentral:lncRNA from 1 species